GGAAGAGGCGAGGCGGGGCGGGGCGGGGCGCCAUCCCGGUCCCGCGCUGCGCUUGUGUGGGGAUGGAGCCGAGGGCUUCCGGGAGAUCAGCCACUGGAGGGCGACAUGAUCCCAGUCACACAGGUGAAGCUCUAAGCUGCUAAAUUGGGUAGCACGCACCCAGCAAGCUCUGCCAAAGGCAGCAAAGGAAUUUCUGCAAAAAGGAGAUGAUGAAAAGAAACAACAACCACAGCAGAGAAUGUACAGACAGGAGGUGAGAGUGGCAGGGACUUCUGAA